rnacentral:rRNA from 1 species
AUUGAACGCUGGCGGCAGGCCUAACACAUGCAAGUCGAGCGGUAGAGAGGUGCUUGCAUCUCUUGAGAGCGGCGGACGGGUGAGUAAUGCCUAGGAAUCUGCCUAGUGGUGGGGGAUAACGUUCGGAAACGGACGCUAAUACCGCAUACGUCCUACGGGAGAAAGCGGGGGAUCUUCGGACCUCGCGCCAUUAGAUGAGCCUAGGUCGGAUUAGCUAGUUGGUGAGGUAAUGGCUCACCAAGGCGACGAUCCGUAACUGGUCUGAGAGGAUGAUCAGUCACACUGGAACUGAGACACGGUCCAGACUCCUACGGGAGGCAGCAGUGGGGAAUAUUGGACAAUGGGCGAAAGCCUGAUCCAGCCAUGCCGCGUGUGUGAAGAAGGUCUUCGGAUUGUAAAGCACUUUAAGUUGGGAGGAAGGGUAGUAACCUAAGUACGUUGCUACUUUGACGUUACCG